CCUACGGGGGGCAGCAGUGAGGAAUAUUGGUCAAUGGCCGGAAGGCUGAACCAGCCAUGCCGCGUGAAGGUCAGUGCCCUAUGGGCGUUAAACUUCUUUUGUGCGGGAGCAAUAAUGGUCACGUGUGGCCAGACGAGAGUACCGUACGAAUAAGCAUCGGCUAACUCCGUGCCAGCAGCCGCGGUUAUACGGGGGAUGCAAGCGUUAUCCGGAUUUUUAGGGUUUAAAGGGUGCGUAGGCUGUGAGGUAAGUCAGCGGUGAAAUGCCUCCGCUUAAAGGGGUGAAGUGCCAUUGAUACUGCCUGGCUGGAGUGCGGAUGCCGUGGGAGGAAUGUGUGGUGUAGCGGUGAAAUGCAUAGAUAUCACACAGAACACCGAUUGCGAAGGCAUCUCACGAAUCCGCGAUUGACGCUGAUGCACGAAAGCGUGGGUAUCAAACAGGAUUAGAUACCCUUGUAGUC
rnacentral:rRNA from 1 species